rnacentral:rRNA from 1 species
UCUUGGUCCAUUUAGAGGAAGUAAAAGUCGUAACAAGGUUUCCGUAGGUGAACCUGCGGAAGGAUCAUUAUUGAAUAAAACUGGUUGRGUUGUUGCUGGCUCUUAGGAGCAUGUGCACACCUAAUCCAUUUUUAACCACCUGUGCACCUUAUGUAGACUUGAACAAAUUUCGAGACCCAAUGUACUCGGUUAGAGAAUUGCUGUGUGUAUGCAAGCUCAGCUUUUCUUGUCUUCAAGUCUAUGUCUUUAUUACUAAACUCCAGUAUCUGACUGAAUGUAAUUGAUAGGCUAUUGUGCCUUUAAUCAUAAAUACAACUUUCAACAACGGAUCUCUUGGCUCUCGCAUCGAUGAAGAACGCAGCGAAAUGCGAUAAGUAAUGUGAAUUGCAGAAUUCAGUGAAUCAUCGAAUCUUUGAACGCACCUUGCGCUCCUUGGUAUUCCGAGGAGCAUGCCUGUUUGAGUGUCAUGAAAUUUCUCAACCUUUUCUAGCUUUUGCAAGCUAGAUUGGGCUUGGAUUAUGGGAGUUGCUGGCUGCUUUUUUGAAGUCGGCUCUUCUAAAAUGCAUUAGCAAAAAUCAUUGCUGCUCAUCAUUGGUAUGAUAAUUAUCUAUACCAUUGUGAGUCGGUCUUCUUUAUGGAGGAUUUUGCUUCUAACUGUCUCUAUAUGGGGACAACAUUUGAUAAUUUGACCUCAAAUCAGGUAGGACUACCCGCUGAACUUAAGCAUAUCAAUA